UGGGGAAUAUUGCACAAUGGGCGCAUGCCUGAUGCAGCCAUGCCGCGUGUAUGAAGAAGGCCUUCGGGUUGUAAAGUACUUUCAGCGGGGAGGAAGGGAGUAAAGUUAAUACCUUUGCUCAUUGACGUUACCCGCAGAAGAAGCACCGGCUAACUCCGUGCCAGCAGCCGCGGUAAUACGGAGGGUGCAAGCGUUAAUCGGAAUUACUGGGCGUAAAGCGCACGCAGGCGGUUUGUUAAGUCUGAUGUGAAAUCCCCGGGCUCAACCUGGGAACUGUAUCUGAUACUGGCAAGCUUGAGUCUCGUAGAGGGGGGUAGAAUUCCAGGUGUAGCGGUGAAAUGCGUAGAGAUCUGGAGGAAUACCGGUGGCGAAGGCGGCCCCAUGGACGAAGACUGACGCUCAGGUGCGAAAGCGUGGGGAGCAAACAGG
rnacentral:rRNA from 1 species